CUUGGGGCCCUUCUAAUAAAUAACCAAGUCUCGAACGGAGCUUACGGAUAACUGGCGCCCUCCGUAAUAACUAGCCUUACCCGUGUAGUUCGGAGCUAUGCACCGACGGACAUCCUUUCUCCAACACUCGUGGGUCCAAAAUGCAAAGAGACUAUCAAAAAAUAAAUAAAAAAAAGGAGAUCGGUCCUCCUUUUAAUAGACCGACAGGAACAAACAGUUCCGCAACAAGAGCAACGGUCGCACCGAGCUCAAAGAAAACGCCAUCCAUCGGCUUAAUAAGUCGAUCCAAACAUAUAGCGACAGUCUCAGCGAAAGCGAGGACAGCUGGCACGCACUCAGAACUGGACACAGGUCCAAGUACAAGUAGGGGGGCACUAGCCCGGCAGUCAACUGCGAUUCAGCCCCCAAAAACGGUCCCGACCGGAAGCAAUGCUACUGCUAGCUCCGGUACCGAAGGAUGGCCGCUUGUGAGGGUGGUAGACCCAGCGAAAACGAGCUACCAGGAUCGCAGAAACGCAGCUAGGCUCCUAAGGAGGGUGCACGAAACUCGCCCAAAGGAAGGUGAAAUGUCACAGGAGUUGAAAGAGGCGAUUGAUAGAGCGAAAGCGAUCAUUCCUGAUUUCAACCCCGACUUCAAACCAAUACAAUCGGCUCCAAAACGACAGCGGUCCUUGGAGGAUAAUAAGCCAAGCGUAAAAAGGCACAAAUCAAUGGGCGUGACGCCCAGAAGAUCAUUUGCGGAGGUUGCAAAAAACCGCUUUAUCAUAGGGGUCCUGGACGAGAACCAUCCUCAAGGUAUGAUCCCCAAGGCCCAAUGGAAAUGGAUCGAGGCCGAGCUAACGAAAGUGGCACUGAAGGUUAUUCUGGAGAACCCCGGCCCCCCGCGUGCGUGCGAAGACUUAGGCUGGCACCAAGGCCAGAUAAAAAUAAUAGCGUGCGACGAUGAGAGAUCGGUUCAACUGUACAAAAAGGCCAUCUCCAAAGUCGGAGAAGUGUACCCAAAUGCCAAGCUGGUGGUCGUGGACAGGAAGGAUAUUCCGUCCAGGCCGCGAGCAAGGGUUUGGUUACCUUCAACCGUCGAAGACCCGGAAGAGAUUAUGAAGCUCAUCCGGGUCUGCAAUCCGGAUAUCCCAACGCAGGAGUGGAGGUACGUCAAAACUCUUACCAGCCAAAACAGCGCGGAUGAAUCGAAAGAGCAGAAGCGCGCCACCAUGCAGGCUCUCCUGCUCCUCACAGAGAACUCAAUUGAACCGUUAGCGAAAUGCGAUGGGCAACUGAGAACGGUUUCGUAACGGUGAAGCUCCACAUUUAUAAAACCGCCACGGAUGCAGUUGAGUUCCUCGCCUCGAAGGAAAAUGAAAAGCCCAUGGGCGAACUGGAACCCAUGAGCGAAACCGAGCCAAUGAGCGAAGACGACCAGCCCACCGAAGAAGAAUACGCCUCUUCAGGCUCAGAAAUGGGCUUAGGGAGGUUGUACUUCGAACGGGAGGAUAAACCUACACCACUGUAAAGAAGCCUUCCUUGCCCUCCUGGAUCGUAUGGCAGAAGAUCAGCCGAAUGUAGUCCUCAUUCAGGAACCCUGGGUACGGAAUGGCGAAAUCUGCGGUCUGAGGACAUCAGGUUAUAAAGUAUACAAGACCAAUUGUGAAGUAACGCAGAUACUACGACGGUUAGCUGGGAAGUGAGCGGAAGCAACACCUGGCUAACCUCGUUCUAUUUUGCCGGAGACGACACAGGUCCACUGCCGUCGCCGCUAAUAAGAAGCCUUGUGAAAGACUGCAAAGCUCACAAUCGCAAACUAGUACUAGGAGGUGAUGCCAAUGCCCACCAUACCAUAUGGGAAAGCUCGGAUACAAACGAACGAGACAAAGGAUGGGUUCGACGUGCUUAUCAGGAGCCCAUAUACUGACACAAGGAAAAGAUGUCAGGCUUAUGACUAUGAGGAGCAAGAAGAAAUACUCAAUAAGAUGCCGGCUAUGAUGAAAAGCAUGAGGGUGAAUGGAAACACAAUUGGCUACCCCGAAAAAGUAACCAUGGAAAUGUACAAUAAAUACCUAUUAUCUAUAGUGUCAUCUGAUGUGGCAACGCUGCCAUAAGCUUAAAAAAUACAUCUCUGUGGAUGUCCGUCCAGUUGAGCAGUACCCGUUACCGGCAACACCCGAAGUUUGGUAAUUAAUGGAAAUAAUUGAAAUACGGUCUUGGUUAUACAAAAAAACGAAAAUAAAUGAUAUAUAUAAUAUAUAGCAUUAAAAGUGUAGUCGUGUUUCAAUUGGUAAACGUUGGCUAUAGUGACUGAGGUACAUCGUGGGCAUAUGAAAAUUUUCAGAAGUGGGAUUAUGAGCAACCGCCUGAGACUUCGCUGACAAC